GGCUCUAAAUAUGCCUAACUUCUCCAACUUCUUUUUGUCCUCUUAUUAGCGGCUAUGAUGAUUAUGUCUAGAGUUGGGUCGGCAUUGGAGUGGCCCGUAUCUUGGCGGGGCGACCCGGAAUUCAUCUAUGUGAUGCAACUGUGCUCUGCAGCCAUGGCGAUCCUUGUCUCCGUUGCCUUAUCAUUCGAGCCUCUCGAAAAACUGCUAUAUUACCCUCUGAAUUAGAUUAGCCCGGAAAUGAAGAGAAUGAGGCGACAGAGAGAGUAUGGGAUUUUUUUUUCAAGGGUGGUUGCCCCUCUCUGCUGUGUCUAUGAUUCUCCUUUUUUGUAACAAACCAACAGCCCUUAAAAAGGAAAGAGAGAAAGAUAGAUGAUAACACUUCAGUUUCUGGAUUUGUUUGCAGUUUGCAUAUUAUUCAAAGGCCCAAUACACACACAACUAUACUACAACAACUACGGGACCUUCAGAUCUUAAUGAGGCAGUGAUGAUGAUUUUUUUCUAUAUCUGGGGUAACUAAUUCAGGCAUGGAGAUUAUCCGACCCGUAUCUUGGCGUGGCAACCGGUAUGGUCUGUGAUUGGGACUCUUCUCACUCACAUGCAACUGGUUUUUUGCAGCCAUGGCGUGGUUGCCUUCUCUUUUGCCUUUGUCAUAAACACAUAUCUGAGCCUCAAUUUGGUAAAGAAAAUAUCAAUCUUUUAGAUUUUAUUGAUGUGGGAUAUAUCGAACCCACGCCCUUUUAAGUUCUAAUGCUUUUUUGAGCUGUGAAAUAUAGCCAUUGUUUUCUAUCAGUAGCAGCUCAAGAAUGAGGCAUUAGAGUGAAAUGUGGGAUUUUUUUGUAACUGUGGUUGCCCUCCUUCUCCGGUGAAAAAGGGUUGUAAUGAUACUUCUAGCUCUUUCUUUUUCUUUUCUUGUGCUUAAUCAGUGAGCAUGAAAACUACCUAGCUGUAUCUUGGCUUGGCAUCUCAGUAUGGCCUGCAAUUGAGAAUCUUCUCUCUUGCAUGCGACCAUUGUUAGCAGCCAUGGGGUGUCUGGCUUCUCUCUGCCUGAUGAUAACAUGGAUCUGAGCCUCAAUGUCAAUAUCAACCAGUUGUGCCUCAUUCCCAAGUCAGUUGGGACCGGCUAUGCGAAUCCUCUGUAUCCAUUUUGGUAUAUUUAGGUGCUUUUGCAUUAUUUCUACACCAUAAACAGAAACUAGAUUCUCAACUCAAGAACAAGAAUGAGACUGCAUACGGAUGGAAAGUUUUUAGGGGUGUUGCCUUCCAUCUGCAUGCCCGUGAUAUCUCUGUAUUCUGCUACUGCCAGAGCAACAGCCCUUCUUUCAUGCUUAGCUGGCGCUCUAAUGGUUGUGAUGAUAAAGCAGCUUGAUUUCAUUGUAUUUGGGUCUGCUGGACCUGUAUCUUGGCAGUGGAAACCAGGAUGACUUAAGCAGAGUCUUAUUUCUCUAGCAAGCAUUCUUGUUUGCAGCCAUGGCGGUGUCCCUUUACCUGAUCUUAUGACAGAUCUGAUCCUACGUAUAUACUCAUAUUAGUUUCACUUCAUAGAUAGAUAUCUAAAAAUAGAUGGAAAUAACUUUUAGAUAUGCCCGGAGAAAGAGAAGGACAAUGGUGAAAAAAGUGAAAACUACUUUCCCUUGUGAUGAAAAAGGAAGGUUAGAUACUUAAAGGCAGACUUACAUGGGCCUUUAAAAGUUCUCUUCUUGAACUAGCUCAGAAAUUGCAAGAAUGAGGCAAGAGAGAGUAUGAGAUUUCUUUCGAGGGUGGUUGCCCCUCUUUCAAUAUCUGGUUUUCUGGAUGACCAUUUGGGAAAUUUCCCCAAUAUACAAGUAUACCACAACAACUACCUUCAGAUGUUCAGUCUGUCCUCAUGGCCCUUUGCGGUUUCUUCCAGUUUACUCUCAUCGUCUCAUUGUUAAUGGGAACUGGAAAGUGUUACAUUAUGAUGCAUUCUACUACAGAAAGGGGCUGUGAUGAUGCUUAUAAAUCUUUCUAUUUCUGGGCUGAUCAUUGAGUCUUUGAGAUGACCGGACUUGUAUCUUGGCAUGGCAACCCGGUAUGGCAUGUGAUUGAAAACUCCUCUCUCUCUCUCUCUCUCUCUCUCUCUCUCUCUCUCUCUCUCUCUCUCUCUCUCUCUCUCUCUCUCUCUCAUGCAACCGGUGUUUUGCAGCCAUGGUGUGGCAGGCUUCUCUUUUGCCUUAUCAUAAUACACAUCUGAGCCUCAAUUUGCUGAAGAUCAUAGGUAGGCAUUUGGACAAUAUUUGAGUUGAAUUUGCGAAGUUCUCUUGAGUGCAGACUUGUGAGGUCUCUUCGGUUAAAAGCUCUUAUCUAAGCGAAUUCCCGUUAUUAGAUUAGCCUAGAAAUGGUGAGAAUGAGGCAACUGAGAGUAUGGGAUUUUUUACAAAGGGUGGUUGCCCCUCUCUGCUGUUUCAAUGAUACUCCACUUUUCUUUGCAUUUUUUGCACCCUUAACGUAUACUCAAACCCCAGUACCCAACUAUACUGUAACAACUACGCGACCUUCAGAUCUUCCGCCUGAGUCCUUCAUGGCUUUGAAAACCCUUAAAGAGGCAGUGAUGAUGAUUUAUUUUCUAUACCUGGGCUAACUGAUUGGGGCAUGGAAAUUACCCAAACCGUAUCUUGGCGUGGCAACCCGGUAUGGCAUGUGAUUGAGUCUCCUCUCUCUCACAUGCAACUGGUGUUCUGCAGCCAUGGCGUGGUUGGGUUCUCUUUUGCUUUAUCAUAACACAUAUCUGAGCCUCAAUUUGCUAAAGAAAAUAUACCAUUUCCAUGUAUUGAUGCAGGAGAUAUUGAACCCUCGUCCUUUUUAUUAGAAGUUAUAAUGCUUUUCACUCGUAAUGUUUUUGUCGUCCUCCAGUAAGCCCAUGAUUUAAAUAGCAGCCUUAAAUGAUCCGAUUUUUGCAAAUCACCCAGCGAAUUCCCUUUGUUAGAUUACCCCAAAAUAGUGAGGAAAGGCAACAGAGAGUGUGGGAUUUCUUUCAAGGGUGGUUGCCCCUCUCUGCUUAGCCUAUGAUUCUCCAUUUUUUAACAAACCAACAGCCCUUAAAAAAGAAAGAGAGAAUUUCAGUUUCGGGUUCUUGCAUUUGCACCCUAAUGCAUACUCAAAACACGAACAUACAACUAUACUACAAUAACUACACGACCUUUAGAUCUUCACUCUGUCUCCUCAUGGCUUUGAGAACUCUUAGAGAGGCAGUGAUGAUGUUUCUCGUAUCCGAGCUAACUGAUUCGGGCGUGGAGAUUACCCCACCUGUAUCUUGGCGUGGCAACCUGGUAUGGCCUGUGAUUGAGACUGUUCUCACAUGCAACCAGUGGUCUGCAGCCCUGAGUGGAUGGGUUCUCUUUGCCUCAAUGUGCUAAAGAUAAUAUAUCUUUUCCAAGAUUCAAUGUGGGAGAUAUCGAACCCAUGCCCUUUUGAUUACAAGUUAUAAUGCAUUUUUCACUGCUUAUGUAUUCCAUUUUUAUGGUCAGUAUCAGGCUAUCAGCUCAAGAAUGAGGCAUUAGAGUGAUUUGUGGGAAUUUUGUAACGGUGGUUGACCUCCUUCUCUACAGCUCAAAGAACGAGAGAUCAGAGAGAAAUGGAGAUUUUCGCUUCUUUUGGCAAGAAAAUCAACACCACCCUUUUUAAGGCAACCAUUGAUUAGUUUUCAAUGGAAGGCCAUUCUCUGAACUGGGGAUUCUUCAGCUUUCUGUGUUAGACUGACGUGAUAACCAGCUAGACUACCACUUCAUUUCAGCUCAAAGAAUGAGGCUCAGGGAGAUGAUUCUCAGAGUGGAUGACCAUCUCCGACAUGCUGACGUUUGUGCAUAUGCAUGUUUCUUUUGUAUAUGUGGCAUUGUGCGUGCGUUUCGGUUGUCUUAAUUUUGUCCUCACUGGCUGUAUUGGGAUGCAAUGCGAACAAAGUAACACGUCCAUAAAAUCAAAUAGGGGAAACAAUGGGGCUAUGAUGAUAAUAUUUGUUGAGCUAAUUGAAUUCGGGCAUUGGAAUUUUGCUGGCUGUAUCUUGGCGGGGCAACUUGAAUUUCUGGGGUUUGCAGCCAUGGCAGGUGCAGAGAACUCAAUGCCCCACAUAAUCUGAGCCUCCAGUUUAACAGAAGCCUUAGCAUCAUUUCCCCAUUAUCAAUGAGGCCAACAGGGGAGAAAGGGACUUUUUUGAGGCCUGUGAUUUCUCUAUUAGCAAAAUCAACAGCCCUCUUCUAGUCCUCUUAUCAGCAGCAGCAACAGUAGUACUUGGACCUUGUUCUGAUUUAUGAGCUUAGUCCAAAGCACCCUAAAUUCCUCGAAACCUAUGCUACCAUUUUCUCAAAGAGGCAGUGAUGAUAUUUGCUUAUCUGGCAAAAGAAUUAUUCCUGCAUUGAGACAAGCAGAUCCAUAUUUGGCUUGGCAAACCCUGGAUGGUAUGUGAUUGGAGGCUUCUCUGUCACAUGCAACUGGUUUUUUUGCAGCCACGGCGUGGUCUCCUCUUUUUGCCCAAUUAGUAACCCAACUCUGAGCCUCAAAAUUUCAGUUUGUCCUUCUGGACGUUGUUAGAUGAAAACCCUUUUUCAUUUUCUUGUCAUAUCCAGCUCAGAAAUGAGGCAUCAUUGAGAAAUGGGAAUUAUUUAUUUGUUCAUUCAUUCGUUUAGUUAUGCUGGUAAGGCCAAGAUUUCUUGCUGGAAGAGAUUAACAGUGGUUUGCUCUUUUCUGCAACUCCAGCUUCGGAAGAUGCACGUUGUUGAUUUGUUGCUGCUACUGCUACUGAUUCUCUUGUCUUGGUGCGACGUGGCUGCAUUAACACCUUAACAGCGAGAAUCAUACUAGAAAUAAAGAAAAAGGUGAAAAAUUGAGGCAGCGCUUUUGGUAAAUAGCAUUAUUAAUUUGCAUUGAGAUGAUACAAGACUCAGUAUCUUGGCGGGCAAUCUGGAGAAGGUUGCAGCCAAUAAUAGAGAAAUCUGAGCCUUGGUAUUAAGCAUUACUAGUAGUUUCUAUCUAUUUAUUCGUUAUUGUUUCCCUUUUUUCAAGAUUGCUAAGAGAGUUGCAAUUUUCUUUUGACAUAUUUUCCGUGUCUUUGUAAGUAUUGCUCGUUUUUUGUAAACAAAAAUUCUGUUCUAAAAGAGGCAAGAGAUGUGGAAAUACAGCGAUUAUAAAUCACUCUCCAGCCAAUGGAUACCAGAUUUUUGUUGUUUCA